GUAAGGCGAGGCAGAAAUGCGUAGCUGAUGGGAAGCAGGUUAAUAUUCCUGCACCAUUGUUAGAUGCGAUGGGGGGACGGAUCGCGGAAGGUUGUCCGGGUGUUGGAAGUCCCGGUCCUUGCAUUGGAGAAGGCGCUUAGGCAAAUCCGGGCGCGGAAUUCAAGGGUGUGAGGCGAGCGGCUUAGGCCGCGAAGCAAUCGGAAGUGGUUCCAAGAAAAGCCUCUAUGCUUCAGUCUAACAAGACCGUACCGCAAACCGACACAGGUGGGCGAGAUGAGUAUUCUAAGGCGCUUGAGAGAACUCGGGAGAAGGAACUCGGCAAAUUGGUACCGUAACUUCGGGAUAAGGUACGCCCUUGUAGCUUGACUGGCCUGCGCCAGGAGGGUGAGAGGGUUGCAAUAAACUGGUGGCUGCGACUGUUUAAUAAAAACACAGCACUCUGCAAACACGAAAGUGGACGUAUAGGGUGUGACGCCUGCCCGGUGCCGGAAGAUUAAAUGAUGGGGUGCAAGCUCUUGAUUGAAGUCCCGGUAAACGGCGGCCGUAACAAUAACGGUCCUAAGGUAGCGAAAUUCCUUGUCGGGUAAGUUCCGACCUGCACGAAUGGCGUAACGAUGGCCACACUGUCUCCUCCCGAGACUCAGCGAAGUUGAAGUGUUUGUGAUGAUGCAAUCUCCCCGCGGCUAGACGGAAAGACCCCAUGAACCUUUACUGUAGCUUUGCAUUGGACUUUGAACCGAUCUGUGUAGGAUAGGUGGGAGGCUAUGAAACCGGAACGCUAGUUUCGGUGGAGCCGUCCUUGAAAUACCACCCUGGUUUGUUUGAGGUUCUAACCUUGGUCCGUUAUCCGGACUGGGGACAGUGCAUGGUAGGCAGUUUGACUGGGGCGGUCUCCUCCCAAAGUGUAACGGAGGAGUACGAAGGUACGCUAGGUACGGUCGGAAAUCGUGCUGAUAGUGCAAUGGCAUAAGCGUGCUUAACUGCGAGACCGACAAGUCGAGCAGGUGCGAAAGCAGGUCAUAGUGAUCCGGUGGUUCUGUAUGGAAGGGCCAUCGCUCAACGGAUAAAAGGUACUCUGGGGAUAACAGGCUGAUACCGCCCAAGAGUUCAUAUCGACGGCGGUGUUUGGCACCUCGAUGUCGGCUCAUCUCAUCCUGGGGCUGUAGCCGGUCCCAAGGGUAUGGCUGUUCGCCAUUCAAAGAGGUACGUGAGCUGGGUUUUAGACGUCGUGAGACGGUUUGGUCCCUAUCUGCCGUGGGCGUUGGAUAUUUGAAGGGGGCUGCUCCUAGUACGAGAGGACCGGAGUGGACGAACCUCUGGUGUACCGGUUGUCACGCCAGUGGCAUCGCCGGGUAGCUAUGUUCGGAAGAGAUAACCGCUGAAAGCAUCUAAGCGGGAAACUCGCCUUAAGAUGAGAUAUCCCCGGGGACUUGAUCCCCUUGAAGGGUCGUUCUAGACCAGGACGUUGAUAGGUCAGGUGUGGAAGC
rnacentral:rRNA from 1 species